rnacentral:rRNA from 1 species
GAUGAACGCUGACAGAAUGCUUAACACAUGCAAGUCCACUUGAACUUCGGUUUGGGUGGCGGACGGGUGAGUAACGCGUAAAGAACUUGCCUCACAGCUAGGGACAACAUUUGGAAACGAAUGCUAAUACCUGAUAUUAUGAUUUUAGGGCAUCCUACAAUUAUGAAAGCUAUAUGCGCUGUGAGAGAGCUUUGCGUCCUAUUAGCUAGUUGGAGGGGUAACGGCACACCAAGGCGAUGAUGGGUAGCCGGCCUGAGAGGGUGAACGGCCAAAAGGGGACUGAGACACGGCCCAGACCCCGACGGGGGGGAGCAGGUGGGAAUAUUGAAAAAUGGGCCGAAGGCUGAGACAGCAAUGCUGUGUGCGGGAGAAAGGGUUUCGGGGUGUAAAAGGCAUUUGAAGGGGAAGAAAAAAAAGUGACGGUAAUAAGUAAAGAAGCAACGCCUAACUACGUG